rnacentral:misc_RNA from 1 species
CAAUUUUACAAGUGCUCCUACGCUCCAACUCCUCUUCGGGGAAGGAGACAAGGAACGCACUGUGGACGAAAAAUCCAUUCCCACCUUGUGUGCAUUGUAACAAACAAACCUAUUUCACAGAUAAUGAUUUUUUUUGCAAGACCGUCUGAAUGCAUCUCAUUAGCCAAUCUGCGAAAGCAGGGAGGAAUAAAAAAAUGAAAUA